rnacentral:lncRNA from 1 species
AGAGAAUGUGGCGUUCGUUGAAGCUGUGACCGGUAAAGCCGUCACGUACGGUGAUGUAGUGAGAGAUACAAAGAGGCUAGCCAAAGCGUUGACCUCACUUGGACUAAGGAAAGGUCAAGUAAUGGUUGUGGUUCUACCAAAUGUCGCCGAGUAUGGGAUUAUUGCCCUUGGCAUUAUGUCCGCCGGUGGAGUUUUCUCUGGCGCUAAUCCGACGGCUCUUGUCUCCGAGAUCAAGAAGCAAGUUGAAGCUUCUGGUGCUAGAGGAAUCAUCACUGAUUCUACUAACUUCGAAAAGGUAAAAUACAUAGGGUACUUUGUAUGUUUGUGUCUGUGCAUAUAAAUGUUUAAGACUAGACAUAUAAUUUGGUUCGUUUCGGUUAUUUUAGUAUUUGGUAUGCCCGAUUUUAUCACUUGUUAUAACCGUGUGUUAUUUUAGUUCAUGGUGAAAUGUUGGUUUGGUGGUGAAAUCUUAUUUUUGAAAAUUCAAAUGUGUUUUCUAUAUUUUUAUUUAUUUAUUUAUUUAGUUCUAUUAUAUUCGGGUUUGGUAUAGUUUUUGUCUGAAUUCAGUAUGAAAAAUUAACAAAAUAACGAUUUUAAUUAAUAUAUGCAAAUAUACUUGGUUGAUUUUGUUUGGUUGGACUAAGAUAAGAUUAAGGUUUAGACCUGGUUUUGGAGUGGAAGUUUGUUUGCAGAGCCAGUCCUACGCAUAGCAAAAUAAAACAUUUAUCUAUGAUCCCUAAAAUAUUACAAUAGGUAAGAUGUAUAUAUCAUUUGGUCCCUAAAUUGAUUAAAUUAAAUUUAUGUUUGAUCAUAAUUGUUCAAGUUCCAGAAAACUUUAGGACCAGUCCUAACUGGUCGGUUUAAGUCUUUAAGAUUGAGUUCUUUUUCCGGUAUCUAUUUUGGUUCGAGUUUGGUUCUAUCAAAAUCUACUGAUCCGCAUAUAAUGUACCUAUUUUGGACAGGUGAAGGCUUUAGGCUUACCGGUAAUAGUGUUAGGUGAAGAGAAGAUCGAAGGAGCAGUGAACUGGAAAGAUCUUCUAGAAGCAGGAGACAGAUCUGGAGAUAACAACAGAGAGAAGAUACUUCAGACAGAUCUAUGUGCACUUCCUUUCUCUUCAGGCACAACAGGAUUACAAAAAGGAGUGAUGCUCACACAUCGCAACCUCAUAGCAAAUCUUUGCUCUACUCUCUUCAGCGUCCGGUCUGAAAUGAUCGGCCAGAUCGUGACUCUUGGUUUGAUUCCGUUCUUUCACAUUUACGGUAUCGUUGGAAUCUGUUGUGCUACAAUGAAGAAUAAAGGCAAAGUUGUUGCUAUGAGUCGGUAUGAUCUAAGGCUUUUCUUGAAUGCUUUGAUUACUCAUGAGGUCUUGUUUGCGCCUAUUGUUCCACCUAUUAUAUUGAAUCUUGUCAAGAAUCCGAUCGUCGAUGAGUUUGAUCUUUCUAAGCUUAAACUCCGUUCUGUUAUGACUGCUGCCGCUCCCUUAGCCCCCGAGCUUCUCACUGCCUUUGAAGCCAAGUUUCCUAAUGUUCAAGUCCAAGAGGCAAGUUCAAAAGACCUAAAACCUUUUAUGUUUUUGUUGUUCUUUUUUAUUUUAUUUAUUAUUAUUAGCUAUGAGGAAUUCGAGCCAGGGCACAACGGAACCAAGUCCUUGUGUUUGGUCCUUUUUUGUUAUUGUUGUUUUCAAUCUAGGUUUCAUUAAUGUGUUAAUAGGCUUACGGAUUAACGGAGCAUAGCUGCAUUACUUUAACUCACGGUGAUCCUGAUAAAGGACAAGGAAUCGCGAAACGAAACUCUGUCGGAUUUAUACUUCCGAAUCUCGAGGUGAAGUUCAUAGAUCCUGACACUGGCCGGUCGCUUCCGAAGAACACUUCUGGUGAGCUCUGUGUGAGGAGCCAGUGUGUGAUGCAAGGUUACUUCGAGAACAAGGAAGAGACGGAGAAGACGAUCGAUGAAGAAGGUUGGCUUCACACUGGAGAUGUAGGUUACAUUGAUGAUGAUGGAGACAUUUUCAUCGUUGAUCGCAUCAAAGAACUUAUCAAAUACAAGGGCUUUCAGGUAACUUGAUUCACAAUUAAUCUUAGCUUGGUUUUCUUUUCCGGUUAUUUCCGGUUUGAGAAUGUUAUACUGAACUCCGUUUUUGGUCCAGAUUGGAUUUUCAUAUUUUUGUGCAGUUUUAUUUGGGAUCAAAAAGUUAAUCAACGUCUCAUUAUGCCUUUAAUUGUUUAUUUGUGUCUACUAAAAUUUUACGUAUAUGUGUUUGCAACAGUUAAAACCUUAAAGUUGGUUUGGUUAUGGAUCAGUCUUGUCUAAGUAAAUCAUUUACAUGUCUAAAAACAGAGUUGUUUAUUUUCCGGCAGGUGGCUCCGGCGGAGCUUGAAGCUAUUCUACUCACUCAUCCAUCAGUUGAAGACGUAGCCGUCGUGCCGUGAGUAUAUAUAUUGCCUUCUAAUUAUUAAAAAUUUGAAGAAUGGUUAAUUAAUUAAAAUAAAUAAUUUGGAAUAAAAUAAUGAGCAAAGGUUACCGGACGAGGAAGCGGGAGAGAUUCCGGUGGCUUGUGUUGUGAUGAAUCCAAAAGCGAAAGAGAAAGAAGAAGACAUCCUUAGCUUUGUUGCGGCAAAUGUGGCUCACUACAAGAAGAUCAGAGCCGUCCAUUUUGUGGAUUCAAUUCCCAAGUCUCUCUCUGGUAAAAUCAUGAGGAGGCUUCUCAGAGACAACAUCCUCAGCAUCAAGAAAACGCUAUUCUAAGUGGUUGAUUAACGGUUUGGUUAUCCAUUAAUUAGUCGCUUAAUUUAAUCUUCUUUUAUUAAGAAUGUUUUACUAUCAACGUUUUCAACGUUUCUGAUGUUUAACGGAGUAGACAAAACUAAUAACACACCAAGAACAUUCUACCUAGUUUGUUAGACUAGCUCCAAUUAAUGUAUUAAUCUCUACCAGAAAAUAUAAAACGAGUCCGUAGAAGGGCAAAUCUCCAAAAUACCACAUUUCUAAAUUUAUAUCACAAAAAUAACAUUCAAAAACUAAAAUGACCAAAAUAGCACCUUUCUAAGUUUAUCCUUUGAAAAUUUUAAUUUUUUUAUUUUUCAAAAUUUGAAAUCUUAUCCCAAAACUUCAUUUCUCAACUCUAAACCCUAAACCCUAAACCCUAAACUCUAAACCCUAAACCCUAAAAAACAUUGUUUGAGUGUAUUAUAUAUUUUUUAAUGAAAUUAUUAUAAUUAUGUAAAUCACGUGCUAAUAUUAUUUGCUUGUGUUUUAAAAGAUUUUAUAAAAUGGGCUAACUCUGAACUAACCCUAAUCCAGCUCUUCAAACAUAAACUAUUAGGACUAAAAUAGGAUUAGGGCUAGAAUAGGGUCUGGUUUAUAUUUUAUAGGCUGGGUGGGCUAAAAAACCCUAUAUAACAUCCCAAAAUUCAAGCAUAUUGUCUUUCAUCGAAAGCAUAGAAAAUCUUGGGUUUCGUCAAAAACAAGAGUAGGAACGCAAAUUUUACAAUAAGAUAAACCGAAUAGCUAUACAAUAUUUUAUUUUACAAAAAAAAACUAUACAAUAUUUAAAUAUAAAUCAAUAAAAAUACAUAAUACAAAUACAAAAACUUUAGGAAAAGACACUCGUACGAACAUAAAGUGAAGAACCAUAAGGAAAGCUUAUGUAAAUGCCUCAUAGACAGUUCAUGUUUUUUCAAAAUCCCAUGAUAUAAUUGCGGAACAAAAUCUGUAGAACAUUCUUUAUAUGUUAUACUCUCACGAGCAAAGAAAUAAACAAAAAAAAAAUAGUAGGAGUUGUUUUGUUGUGAUGUAGAAGCUCAUGUUGCUUUGUAUUUGCUUUUAUGAUAGAGUUUGUUGAAGAUUUGUUUGCAUUUUUGUGAAUAUUAGGUGUUUUCAUCUCACCUUCAUUAUUUAACAAGAUAAAAAGUACUUAAUAUAGAUUCAGAGGACUAUGAUCGAUGGAUCCACCAAUUUACAUAAGGGGUGUCAAAAUGAGCUAUAACUUAUGUGGUAGCUCAGCUCAGCUUGAUUUUUCAUGAUCAUGAGUUAUAUUUUUUAAAUUCAUUUAAUAAAUGAGUUUAAUGAACAAGCUUAAAUUAAAUCACGAGUUAUAUGAACAAUCUUAAAUGAACAUGAACCAACUCAUUAGCUUGGUCAUUUUUAUACUUAAAAUUAUAUAUAUCAUAUGUAAAUAAGAUAAUUUCUAUAUCAUCAUAUUUAUCUUCUAAAAUUACAAUGUAAAUCCAAAUUUAUUUAGAUAUAUAUAUAGAAUAUGUAAAAGAAAAUUUUAUAUACCCAUCAUCUGUCUUUAAAUUUAGAUGUAAAACAAAAUAUUCCUAAGAGACAAUUUAGAAAUUACUCGUAAUUAUCUUACUUAAUAUUUUUUUUUUUACAUUUAAAUUUUAUAAAACAUAAUAUAAAAAUCAUACUUUUAAUAUUAUAAGACUUAAUAAAACUUAUUUUAAUAUUUUAUUUUAUGAUAAUUAAUAUUUUAUAUUAAAUCGCGAGCUAUCUCGUUUUGCUCAUGAUCUUUAAUGAUAUGAGUUCAAGUUUACGUAUUAAAGUUCAUCUAAUAAAUGAGCUGAGCUAACUCUUGAAAGAUUCGAACUUACUAUGAGCUUAUGAGCUGAGCUGAGUUGAGCGAGAUAGCUCAUUUUUACAUAUUUAUAUAUAAGGAGCAUGUCACAAACACAAUCCUAUGUCGUUGUAGUGUUUGGUGAUCUUUUUCCACCGGCUUCAAAACCAACCUACGAUGCGUUCCGCAUAACCGGAACGCAUAACCCUGCUAAUUCUUAUGGUCAAAAAGAUCUCAUCUAAUCCAAUUGGGUCAAGUAAUGGGCUGCAACACUUAGCAUUUUUGUAACUGGGCUCAAGUCAGUUAAUCAGGCCUAAUCAUGUAGAGCUUUCCACCUCGACCAUUCAAUUUCAAAUGGUCGUCAUAUGACGUUUGGCUUUCUAAUGACACAAGCACGAAUCAUGCUCAUCAUUACUCAUUAGGAUAACGUUAACAAUGUACCAACUAUACUUUAUACUAGAGACAAAGUUAAACGUAGUAAUCAUAUAAUCUUUCCUUGGAAGCCUAGGUGAUACUACUUUCGUGAUGCUUUUUAACCACAGUACCAAAUCAUUUUCCUUUUCAAUAAAAUACACAAAUUAGACAGUCUCGUAACUUAACAAGUAACUCCAUAUAUAUGUAAAUUGUGUAUAAACGACUUUAUACGAAUACUCCAUGUUAAGUUGUCCAUCCUUGUAUUGUGUUGUGGUCUACAGUAUCAAAGAAAUUAAAUCAAAAGAAAUAGCCUUACCAAAACGUUAUAAAUAUAAUUAAUACCCACAACGUCUUCUACUUAACCGUUAAUUAAAAUAAUGUAUAUAUGUCUGUUAGGAAGUUUGGUCAUUCGAUCUUUAAUUAAUUUAAAAUAAAUUCACACUUCUGAUUACUAUUCGUAAUGGAGACAAAAAUGUUUAUAAUAAAAAAACUUAGGUGAAGGUUGCUGUAACCAUUGGGCUAACUGAUCUCAACCACAGCCACUUGAAGACAAAUAAUUCGUACAAAUAUAUAAUUACAUUGCAAUAAUUAUACUAGAUGCGUUUUAUUACCUCUUAUGAUUCUAAGCAAAGUUUGUCGCUCUGUAAGCAAGCCGAGAGAUACUAGUUAUUUGUACACUUAUAAGUUUUAUCAGUCUACCACGGAAGUUGAAGCAUCUCGUUAAUUGUUUCGUUUUAAAGUAAUACGAUUGUUCUCGGAGGUAGAAGCACUAAUGACGUUGACGAGAUACCAGAUACGGAACGAGUACGGCUUGGCGGAUAAGGAGCUCUACAGCGAUAAGGAAGAUGCUGAAGUUUUGCUCGAAGGUUCAUCAAUGGCUGGACUCGUCGGCCUUUUGCGCCAGCUUGGCGACCUCGCUGAGUAAGUUUCUUUCUUCCUAUUGGCUAUGAGGUGCCGUUUGAGAGAUCAUUUGAGUUUUGUUUAUCAUUUUAGUAUUUAUCUAGGAAUUUUACUCAUGCUUAUUUGAAACCAAUGUUUCAACUCUGUCCUUACUUUCACAUUUAAGGUUUGCUGGUGAAGUGUUCCAUAACCUGCAUGAAGAACUAAUGACAACUUCAGCACGAGGACAAGGUUUGGCAAUUCGUCUUCAACAGCUUGAAGCACAAGUUCCUAAUUCGGUUGAGAUACCUAUUUUGUCUCAAACCGAUCAUUCAACUUUCUUUUACGAUCCAGGCAAGUCAUCUUACUUUGGCUUAUAUAUAGUAUUAUAAGAGCUCUUAGGUGUUAUGUUGAUGGUAUAAUCAUUUUAUUUCAUUCAAGGCAAAUGGAAAUUUUGUGUGGAAUUGAUGAGCUAAGUCAUUGCACAUCAUUUUAAAAUGUCAAUUCAGCCUAUUCUAGUGUAUUGAUAUUUGAUAUUAGACUCCAGGCAUAGGAUUGAUUAGGUCAUGCAAUAUUUCAGGAUUGGAAUGGCAUUCUACUUUGAAAACAGAAGAACAUCUAAUUUAUCCACACAAGUUGCCUCAUUGUAUAAUUGAUUCAUAUGAGGAAUGUCGUGGUCCGCCCCAGCUCUACCUUCUUGACAAGUACAAUUUUCAGUAGAUUCAAGGAAGUUUCAGAAAUUUUCAUUAUAGUAAAACUUGGCUUACAAGUUUUUUUUUGUCUUUUUGUCUUUUUUCUGCUGUUUUUAAUUAAGGUUUGAUGUUGAUGGGUCUGGAUCAUGCUUGAAGCGUUACUCUGACCCAUCUUUGUUAAAGAAGCUUACUGCAUCACAACUCAGCAAAGAUGAGAGACCAAUCAAACCAAAGGUAUUUUAUUAACUACUCUUGUCACUUGUCUCUCCAAAACAAGCAUUUGGAAUGCAUAAUUUGUGUAUAUUAUGUGGUACAAUAUUUUUCAUCUACAGAAGAAAGCAUCACACAUUAGUAAUGGAGAGAGAACACUUGGGGAUUCACAAACAUCACAUGCUAAGUGAGCACCCAUAUGCUUUAUGUUUAGUUUUCUCUCAAGUCAUUACUGUUUCUGAAGUUUCAUAUGAUCAACUCUUUGAUUUGGUGACAAUCUGCUUUUUGGAUGGUACAGGUUGAAUCAGCUCUUCUUAAUGGACCAUGCUGAAGAUCCAGAAAUUACAGUUAAACUAAAGAGAAGACAUCUGAAUGGACCUCCUCCAAUUAACUCAAGCUCUGGGACAGGUUACAUGGAGAAGUUCCUGAAGAAUUCUUUGCCCUACUGUGAAAGAGUUCAUGAGACACUGGAUCAGUCAUCUUCAGCAAUGGAAACUGAUGAAGUUGCAACAUGCAACGUACGAGUGGACCUGUCAACACCUUCUUUGGUUUAUCCAAACAAUGGAGAGACUAGAAAAGAGAGGGAAAUGGAAGCCAUUGCUGAUGAUGAAAGAGAGGGAGGAGGAGCAAUGGUUUACAAUGACACAGAUGCACCACCUGCUUCCACAGAGACGGAAGCAGACAAGGCUGAUGUGACUCAAACAGGGGUCCUGGCUGCUAAUGUUCUGCACCACUCAACGGAGGAAGGAGCAUCUGAGGGUACCAAAGAUGUUCAAACAAAUGACGGUGAGGAUGAUCAUUCUCAACAUGUUUUUAGUGUGGAGACUGGAUCUGAGAUGUCUUUAACCGGUUUAGUAGAAGACCAGUUCUGUUCCUUAACCAAUCAAGAGACAGAGAAAGAGCCUGAUUGUCUUCUUAUUCAAAACCAGCAUAUUAGCACAUUUGACAACUUUGAAGAUUUAUCUGUGGAUGCUGAUGCAAUACAUGACAGUGCUGUCCCGAAAGAAGAAGAUGAAACCAGCUCACAAGAUGGAUAUUCCGUGAAUACCGAACACGAACACGCUGGACACGCUUCAACUUUUGAAACUCUGAUGUUAGAUACUCCGAGAGAUGUUCAAACAGGAAACAUAACCCCCUCGGCCUCAUAUUGGCAAGAAGACGCAUUAGCCAACUCUGAUCUAGCUGAGAUAUCAUCAUAUUCUGGAAAAGAGGAUCCACAAAACAUGCCUAUUAUUGCAGCUGGGAGUAGUGAUGGUACUGAUACUCAAAGAGAUGGUGCGGGUGAUAACCAUACUAGCCUGAAUGAUAAGGCCAGUGAGACCGUCCCCGAAGUAGCCUUAGAAGUAGAUCCAGAAGAGUGUCUUUUAGGUACUCAAGAAUGUUUGUCACCUGAGUAUUACAUACAGACACAUAGCCAAGGAGGGCAAGAGAGUCUAUCUGAAACAGACUCAGAAAAUACAACAGCAGAAGCAGCAGCCGAGUCUCUUCCUCCACAAGAUGUUCCUCUUGGUGUUCAGUAUUCAACUUCAGAGGAAACACUAACAUGCAACGAAAAUGAAGCUGAAGUAGAAGCUCUUAAUGCACCACACCAAGGAGAUAUCACAUCACUAAAUGGUAAUAUCCCUGAGUCUGUUCUCUCCAUGGAUCCGACUGAUCAAGAAAAUUGCUUGGAUGUGCCCAUGGCUCCCUUCUCCACGUCCCUCCAUGUAACACCUAUGGAAGAUCUUGAAAUAACGCCUCCUCUCCCGCCUCUCCCUCCAACACAAUGGUGGAUGGGGAAGCUGGUUGAUUCUGUCAAAACAACAGAAACUCAGUUCUCUCCAGUGCCAUCACUUGGGAACAACAGUUUCUACAUUCACAGGGAUGAGAAGAUACAUAAUGGAUUAGUUCAAGGGACCGAGGCACUAGAUCAGUCAGAAGCCUCAGUUACCGCAGAUGAAAGCCACAAUACUGAUGUUGAUCCAGUUGAAGCAGUGUUAACUUCAGCAAAAACUACUCUGAAUGAACCAUCUAAAGCAACCGAGGAGGAACAGUCUCCUUCAGAAUCAGUUGCUUGGGAGUCACUACUCACACCGGAAGCUACACCAGAGGCAGAAUCAACCGAAGGCUUAGAAGCACUUGAGUGGUUUAGUCAGAACUUAAAAGAGCAUACCAAUCCUAACCUUACAAAGCUAGAAGAGGAACCUCAGCUUGAUCAUCCACUAGAACCACCAGGAGAAACAGAAGGAGAUAAUAAAUCAUAUGAAUAUAAUGAGAAAGUUGAGAAGCUUCCAAGAGACAAGGAGUCUCUUGUUCUUGGCAUCGAUAGAAGCAUGGUGAUUAAUUACCUUAAAUUUUAUAUCUCUAUGGUUAGUUCAGUAUUUAUCUCUCUGACGUUAAUCACUUGACUUUUUUUGUUUAAUUACAGUUGAGGAAGGUGUCUGAAAGAAACAGGACACAACUUGGAGCUCGAGUGGAUGAGAAUGAUUCACUACUGGAGAUCAUACGCAGCAAGGUCAAACGCUCUAUACUUAUCUUCUUCUUUUUUUUCCUUUUGGCUUCACUAGUUUAGUAUAAACCAAUAACUGAUAAAAUGCAUUAGCAGUCAUUCAACUUGAGACCAGCAGAUGCAUCGGUGAGACACAACUUUCAAGUAGCUGCUCCCAUAACCAACUUGAAGGUCGCUGCAAUUCUAGAGAAAGCCAAUAGUCUUCGCCAUGUCUCUCUCUAACCUUAUUUGGUUUAAUUUGGAAAAUUACAUGUAUAAAAAAGAGAAAAAAGUUAUUGAUGUGUUAAUUUUUAUGUAGGCAAUGGCGGGAAGCGACGACGACCACGAUUCAGAUAGCUGGAGUGAGUGAAUGAGUCUCCAUGCAUGUAACCUGUAGAGGACAUAUUGAUCAUACACAUACACAAUACAUUUUUGUAAUUUGUAUAGAAGAAGUGUUAACUUCUUCUCAGAUUGUAUUUUUUUUUUUUGGUAUCUCGUAAUGUUUUUAUUGCUCUCUUUCACACAUAUGCAAUGUAUGUCACUCUCAGUUUUUUACUUUCUUUAUUGAAAAUUUUCAGUUAAUGAAUAAUUCGUUCUAAGAACAACAUUUCUGUGACUCAACAAAACUUCACCUAUGUCUAAGAAAGGCAAAGAAGGACUAACCUCUACUUUCCUCUUAAUUACCAAUAUUGGUUUGUACACACAUAUGAUAUGACAUGACGUAUGAACAAUAGAAAAUAUCCUCCUAUUUAUAAUAACUCUUUUGUAAUAACUCAAAUCGAAUUCAACUCAUCUGAAAAUGGAGACUCAAAAGCAAGACAAUGAACACAUUUUCCGCAGUCUAUAUCCAUCUGUGCCCAUUCCCGACAAGCUUACACUGGUAUGGAUUUGAAUUUGUUAUUUUUUUAACAAAGAAAAACUCUUUGAAUAUGAGUAUGUGGGAUUGUAUUCGGUUUGUUUGACUAUCCUAAUGAGAAUUACUUAAUUUAUUGUGUUCAGCCUGAGUUUGUGCUCCAAGGAGUAGAAGAAUUCACAGAGAAUGUGGCGUUCGUUGAAGCUGUGACCGGUAAAGCCGUCACGUACGGUGAUGUAGUGAGAGAUACAAAGAGGCUAGCCAAAGCGUUGACCUCACUUGGACUAAGGAAAGGUCAAGUAAUGGUUGUGGUUCUACCAAAUGUCGCCGAGUAUGGGAUUAUUGCCCUUGGCAUUAUGUCCGCCGGUGGAGUUUUCUCUGGCGCUAAUCCGACGGCUCUUGUCUCCGAGAUCAAGAAGCAAGUUGAAGCUUCUGGUGCUAGAGGAAUCAUCACUGAUUCUACUAACUUCGAAAAGGUAAAAUACAUAGGGUACUUUGUAUGUUUGUGUCUGUGCAUAUAAAUGUUUAAGACUAGACAUAUAAUUUGGUUCGUUUCGGUUAUUUUAGUAUUUGGUAUGCCCGAUUUUAUCACUUGUUAUAACCGUGUGUUAUUUUAGUUCAUGGUGAAAUGUUGGUUUGGUGGUGAAAUCUUAUUUUUGAAAAUUCAAAUGUGUUUUCUAUAUUUUUAUUUAUUUAUUUAUUUAGUUCUAUUAUAUUCGGGUUUGGUAUAGUUUUUGUCUGAAUUCAGUAUGAAAAAUUAACAAAAUAACGAUUUUAAUUAAUAUAUGCAAAUAUACUUGGUUGAUUUUGUUUGGUUGGACUAAGAUAAGAUUAAGGUUUAGACCUGGUUUUGGAGUGGAAGUUUGUUUGCAGAGCCAGUCCUACGCAUAGCAAAAUAAAACAUUUAUCUAUGAUCCCUAAAAUAUUACAAUAGGUAAGAUGUAUAUAUCAUUUGGUCCCUAAAUUGAUUAAAUUAAAUUUAUGUUUGAUCAUAAUUGUUCAAGUUCCAGAAAACUUUAGGACCAGUCCUAACUGGUCGGUUUAAGUCUUUAAGAUUGAGUUCUUUUUCCGGUAUCUAUUUUGGUUCGAGUUUGGUUCUAUCAAAAUCUACUGAUCCGCAUAUAAUGUACCUAUUUUGGACAGGUGAAGGCUUUAGGCUUACCGGUAAUAGUGUUAGGUGAA